AAAGGGAGAACGAGAGGUUUUCUAUCGUAGGUUCUUAUCUGACAGCUACUUCAAGCUUAAGUAACCUCAAAUAAAACCUAGUGCUCGGGGUCCUGAAAACAUCUCCGGGGACAUUAUAGUCAAAACUUCCAGAAUUUCACCCUGAUCUCAAAUAUUCCCAAUUUAUCAUCAAAUAAACAUUUCCAUUACCCCAAAAUUGACUCCGUUAUGACAAAACCGCUAAUCCACUAAAAAUGAUCGUCUCAUGCCAACUAGCUCGAAUAUAUCUCCAUAAUAAUGGAAUCUCAUUCACAAAUCACAUCAUGCACCCAAAUACACAAAUUACCCUCAAUGGGCCGAAUUGUCAAAACAACAUAAUAUAUCAAAUGUGGACCCACAUGCAUGCAUAUAUCAUCAUAUCAUAAUAUAAUUCACAUAAACAUGCAUAUAUUUAUUUAAUGGCGUAAUUAAACAAUUACGGCCCUCCCGGCCAAUUAAACCGCCACUAAACCACAUCAAAGAAUUCGAGGCAUUACAAUUUGGCUGAAAAAUAAGGGUGGAUAUAAAACUAUUAUAAGCAGGAUGUAAUUUUUUAAUAAAAUAUAUUUCCUUGUUUAUCUAACAAUAGCCUUGCAGGUACACAAUAUAGAACUAACUCUGUAGGAACUAUAAGCUUAAAUCCUGGAAUUUCAGAUCAAAUAGAAGAACAAGAACAUGACAUUAAUCAGGUGGAACCAACUAUUCCUCAACUUGAACCAAAUCUAGUUCAGGUGGAACCUAUUGAUGAGGAAACACAAAGUAUUGAGCAAUCAGAAGAACCACAACAAAAUGAAAAUCUGAUAGACUAUCAGUUGACCCGAGACAGAGAAAAGAGGGUUCCUAAACCAAACUUGAAAUAUAGGUUCAACAUAUGGAAUGAAGAUCUAGUCUAUGCUUUUAUGAGUAACCUAGAAGUUUACACUGAAGAACAACAGAGCUAUGAAGAAGCUGUAAAGGGAAAGAAGUUAGAGAAUUGGAUACAAGCCAUGAAGGAUGAGAUGAAAUCUCUUUAAAAAAAACAGACUUGGAAAUUGGUACCUAAGCCUAAGGGAAAUAAUAUUAUAGCUUACAAAUGGUUGUACAGACUAAAAGAAGGAAGGACCAAUGGUGAACCUAUAAGCUACAAGGCUAGAUUGGUUGAUAAAGGUUUUACAAAGAAAGAAGGAAUAGAUUUUACGGAAAUUUUCUCACUACUAGUAAAAUACAAGACUAUCAUAAUUAUCCUAUCUCUAGCUACGCAAUUCAACAUUGAAAUUGAUUAGAUGGAUGUAACACCUGUUUUUCUACAUGGGAAAUUAGAAGAAGACAUCUACAUGCACCAUGUUGACCCUGAUUUUGGUCAACAACACAGAGUCUAGGAAACGACAAGAAAAUGAUAUAGAACUUGAAAAUAAUCUAAUGGAAAGAUAAAGAACGCAGGGAUUUAUAGUGGUUCGGUCCCAGCGAUUGGUAAUGACCUACGUCCACUUGAUACUAUUAUUAAUAUUGAGCUCCCAAGGUGUGAUCAAAGAACUAGGAUUCCUGAGUUUCACAAAUCUUCGAAGAAGAAAACAAUACAACGAUGGAUAAUAGUAAUAUAAUUCUCUAAGCAAAAAAAAAGAUCGAUCCUCUUCCUUGAGCUAUCUCUUGUGUAUUUAUAGGCUCAGAAAGAGUUACAUGAAUUAGGAAAUAAUAUCUAUCCUUAAUGAUCGGAUCUGCAGGUCAUAAUGAAGAGAUAUUCUCGGAUAUCAUCACAACUGUACGGAUCUUUACAUAAAUGAGCGAAUAUACGACCAGGCUGGUCGUAUAUAGAACUUGAUCUCUUCGUGCGGAAAUAAUGCUGGUUGAUAGGCGAGUCGUAUCUCUGCUACGUGUUCGCCACGUGUCGAAAAUCCUUGCCAUGUCAUCAGCAACUGAUUUAUGAAUAAACACACCAACCUAAGAGUUUUGAGGUCAAAAGGAAGGAAGACUAUGUCUAUAAACUGAUUAAGUCCUUGUAUGGACUUAAAUAGCCUCCUAGGUAAUGGAACAAGAAAUUUGAUGCCUUUAUGAUGAAGCUGGGAUUCACUAGAAGUUAUUAUGACACUUGCCUAUACUCCAAAGGAACUAAGGUGCAUGGGGUUAUCUACUUACUAUUGUAUGUAGAUGGCAAGUUGAUUAUUAGCAAAGAAAGGUCUCGGAUAGAUGUGAUAAAAGGAUUACUCAAGACAGAAUUCAAGAUGAAGGACCUAGGUACAACUAUAAAGAUACUAGGGAUUACUAUAAGGAGGGACAAAAGCAAUGGAAGGCUAUGCAUGACUCAAGAUGACUAUAUUCACAAGAUAAUUGAAAAAAUUUCAAUGAAGGGAGCUAAACCUGCUUCACAAGAUAUCACAAACCAGUAUACCUUAUCCAAGGAACAGUGCCCUAAGACCAAGACAAAAGAGGAAGAAAUGAGUAAGAUAUAUAAUGUUGUGGGUUCUAUAAUGUACCUAAUGGUUUGUACAAGACCAGACCUUGCCUAUGCAAUCAACAUUCUCAUUAAUUACAUGUCUAACCCUGGGAAAACUCACUGGCUAGCUAUGAAGUGGUUAUUUAGAUACCAAAUUGGAUCUAACAAGGUAGGGUUAGUCUACAAAAAGCAACAAGCAAGCACUACUAUAGAGAGGGUACCGUGAUGCUGACUAUGCAUACUUAUUUUAUGCAGUUUUAAGUGGUUUAUAUUAUGAAGAAAUAUUGUGGCAGGCAUGGAGGCUCUUUCUCUUUGAAUGCUUUUGAACUUGUCCUGCGGCAACUUAAAAAAUCAGCACCUAAGCUACAUCGUCUACAAGACAAUUUGAAAUCUUCUUAAGGAGAAGUGAAAGUGAAGUUUCAACUCACUAAAGAUACACUUGAUGCUAUGUUGAGGUCAAUUACUUACAUUAAUGAUCAUCUCUCUGGAAUGGUCUAUAUUGAGAUGCAUUUCUUUGGCGCAAUACUAGACAACAUUGAUAGUUGAAGUUUUAGAAUAAAAAAUACAUUUCACUAACAUUGUAUACAUUUCUUGUUUAA